rnacentral:rRNA from 1 species
CUAMCAUGCAAGUCGAACGGUGAAGCCCAGCUUGCUGGGUGGAUCAGUGGCGAACGGGUGAGUAACACGUGAGCAACCUGCCCCUGACUCUGGGAUAAGCGCUGGAAACGGCGUCUAAUACUGGAUAUGUGACGUGACCGCAUGGUCUGCGUCUGGAAAGAAUUUCGGUUGGGGAUGGGCUCGCGGCCUAUCAGCUUGUUGGUGAGGUAAUGGCUCACCAAGGCGUCGACGGGUAGCCGGCCUGAGAGGGUGACCGGCCACACUGGGACUGAGACACGGCCCAGACUCCUACGGGAGGCAGCAGUGGGGAAUAUUGCACAAUGGGCGCAAGCCUGAUGCAGCAACGCCGCGUGAGGGAUGACGGCCUUCGGGUUGUAAACCUCUUUUAGCAGGGAAGAAGCGAAAGUGACGGUACCUGCAGAAAAAGCGCCGGCUAACUACGUGCCAGCAGCCGCGGUAAUACGUAGGGCGCAAGCGUUAUCCGGAAUUAUUGGGCGUAAAGAGCUCGUAGGCGGUUUGUCGCGUCUGCUGUGAAAUCCGGAGGCUCAACCUCCGGCCUGCAGUGGGUACGGGCAGACUAGAGUGCGGUAGGGGAGAUUGGAAUUCCUGGUGUAGCGGUGGAAUGCGCAGAUAUCAGGAGGAACACCGAUGGCGAAGGCAGAUCUCUGGGCCGUAACUGACGCUGAGGAGCGAAAGGGMGGGGAGCAAACAGGCUUAGAUACCCUGGUAGUCCACCCCGUAAACGUUGGGAACUA